rnacentral:rRNA from 1 species
AGGCUUAACACAUGCAAGUCGAGCGAGAAAGUAUCUUCGGAUAUGAGUAAAGCGGCGGACGGGUGAGUAACGCGUAGGAAUCUACCUAGUAGAAGGGGAUAGCCCGGGGAAACUCGGAUUAAUACCGUAUACCUCCUAAGGGAGAAAGAGGGCCUCUCUUGAUGCUCUCGCUAUUAGAUGAGCCUGCGUAAGAUUAGCUUGUUGGUAAGGUAAUGGCUUACCAAGGCUACGAUCUUUAGCUGGUCUGAGAGGACGAUCAGCCACAUUGGGACUGAGACACGGCCCAGACUCCUACGGGAGGCAGCAGUGGGGAAUAUUGGACAAUGGGCGCAAGCCUGAUCCAGCCAUACCGCGUGUGUGAAGAAGGCCUUAGGGUUGUAAAGCACUUUAAGCAGGGAGAAAAAGUUAUAAGUUAAUACCUUAUAACCGUGAUGUUACCUGCAGAAUAAGCACCGGCUAAUUCCGUGCCAGCAGCCGCGGUAAUACGGAAGGUGCAAGCGUUAAUCGGAAUUACUGGGCGUAAAGCGCGCGUAGGUGGUUUGUUAAGUUGGAUGUGAAAGCCCUGGGCUCAACCUAGGAACUGCAUCCAAAACUAACUCACUAGAGUACGAUAGAGGGAGGUAGAAUUCAUAGUGUAGCGGUGGAAUGCGUAGAUAUUAUGAAGAAUACCAGUGGCGAAGGCGGCCUCCUGGAUCUGUACUGACACUGAGGUGCGAAAGCGUGGGUAGCGAACAGGAUUAGAUACCCUGGUAGUCCACGCCGUAAACGAUGACAACUAGCUGUUGGGAGACAAUGUCUUUCAGUGGCGCAGCUAACGUUUUAAGUUGUCCGCCU